rnacentral:rRNA from 1 species
UACGUAGGUGGCGAGCGUUAUCCGGAAUUAUUGGGCGUAAAGAGCGCGCAGGUGGUUGAUUAAGUCUGAUGUGAAAGCCCACGGCUUAACCGUGGAGGGUCAUUGGAAACUGGUCGACUUGAGUGCAGAAGAGGGAAGUGGAAUUCCAUGUGUAGCGGUGAAAUGCGUAGAUAUAUGGAGGAACACCAGUGGCGAAGGCGACUCUCUGGUCUGUUAUUGACGCUGAGGCUCGAAAGCGUGGGGAGCAAACAGGAUUAGA